rnacentral:rRNA from 1 species
AGCGUACACGGUGGAUGCCCUGGCAGUCAGAGGCGAUGAAGGACGUGCUAAUCUGCGAUAAGCGUCGGUAAGGUGAUAUGAACCGUUAUAACCGGCGAUUUCCGAAUGGGGAAACCCAGUGUGAUUCGUCACACUAUCAUUAACUGAAUCCAUAGGUUAAUGAGGCGAACCGGGGGAACUGAAACAUCUAAGUACCCCGAGGAAAAGAAAUCAACCGAGAUUCCCCCAGUAGCGGCGAGCGAACGGGGAGCAGCCCAGAGCCUGAAUCAGUGUGUGUGUUAGUGGAAGCGUCUGGAAAGGCGCGCGAUACAGGGUGACAGCCCCGUACACAAAAAUGCACAUACUGUGAGCUCGAUGAGUAGGGCGGGACACGUGGUAUCCUGUCUGAAUAUGGGGGGACCAUCCUCCAAGGCUAAAUACUCCUGACUGACCGAUAGUGAACCAGUACCGUGAGGGAAAGGCGAAAAGAACCCCGGCGAGGGGAGUGAAAAAGAACCUGAAACCGUGUACGUACAAGCAGUGGGAGCACAGAGCAAUCUGUGUGACUGCGUACCUUUUGUAUAAUGGGUCAGCGACUUAUAUUCUGUAGCAAGGUUAACCGAAUAGGGGAGCCGAAGGGAAACCGAGUCUUAACUGGGCGUUAAGUUGCAGGGUAUAGACCCGAAACCCGGUGAUCUAGCCAUGGGCAGGUUGAAGGUUGGGUAACACUAACUGGAGGACCGAACCGACUAAUGUUGAAAAAUUAGCGGAUGACUUGUGGCUGGGGGUGAAAGGCCAAUCAAACCGGGAGAUAGCUGGUUCUCCCCGAAAGCUAUUUAGGUAGCGCCUCGUGAAUUCAUCUCCGGGGGUAGAGCACUGUUUCGGCAAGGGGGUCAUCCCGACUUACCAACCCGAUGCAAACUGCGAAUACCGGAGAAUGUUAUCACGGGAGACACACGGCGGGUGCUAACGUCCGUCGUGAAGAGGGAAACAACCCAGACCGCCAGCUAAGGUCCCAAAGUCAUGGUUAAGUGGGAAACGAUGUGGGAAGGCCCAGACAGCCAGGAUGUUGGCUUAGAAGCAGCCAUCAUUUAAAGAAAGCGUAAUAGCUCACUGGUCGAGUCGGCCUGCGCGGAAGAUGUAACGGGGCUAAACCAUGCACCGAAGCUGCGGCAGCGACGCUUAUGCGUUGUUGGGUAGGGGAGCGUUCUGUAAGCCUGUGAAGGUGUGCUGUGAGGCAUGCUGGAGGUAUCAGAAGUGCGAAUGCUGACAUAAGUAACGAUAAAGCGGGUGAAAAGCCCGCUCGCCGGAAGACCAAGGGUUCCUGUCCAACGUUAAUCGGGGCAGGGUGAGUCGACCCCUAAGGCGAGGCCGAAAGGCGUAGUCGAUGGGAAACAGGUUAAUAUUCCUGUACUUGGUGUUACUGCGAAGGGGGGACGGAGAAGGCUAUGUUGGCCGGGCGACGGUUGUCCCGGUUUAAGCGUGUAGGCUGGUUUUCCAGGCAAAUCCGGAAAAUCAAGGCUGAGGCGUGAUGACGAGGCACUACGGUGCUGAAGCAACAAAUGCCCUGCUUCCAGGAAAAGCCUCUAAGCAUCAGGUAACAUCAAAUCGUACCCCAAACCGACACAGGUGGUCAGGUAGAGAAUACCAAGGCGCUUGAGAGAACUCGGGUGAAGGAACUAGGCAAAAUGGUGCCGUAACUUCGGGAGAAGGCACGCUGAUAUGUAGGUGAAGUCCCUCGCGGAUGGAGCUGAAAUCAGUCGAAGAUACCAGCUGGCUGCAACUGUUUAUUAAAAACACAGCACUGUGCAAACACGAAAGUGGACGUAUACGGUGUGACGCCUGCCCGGUGCCGGAAGGUUAAUUGAUGGGGUCAGCGCAAGCGAAGCUCUUGAUCGAAGCCCCGGUAAACGGCGGCCGUAACUAUAACGGUCCUAAGGUAGCGAAAUUCCUUGUCGGGUAAGUUCCGACCUGCACGAAUGGCGUAAUGAUGGCCAGGCUGUCUCCACCCGAGACUCAGUGAAAUUGAACUCGCUGUGAAGAUGCAGUGUACCCGCGGCAAGACGGAAAGACCCCGUGAACCUUUACUAUAGCUUGACACUGAACAUUGAGCCUUGAUGUGUAGGAUAGGUGGGAGGCUUUGAAGUGUGGACGCCAGUCUGCAUGGAGCCGACCUUGAAAUACCACCCUUUAAUGUUUGAUGUUCUAACGUUGACCCGUAAUCCGGGUUGCGGACAGUGUCUGGUGGGUAGUUUGACUGGGGCGGUCUCCUCCUAAAGAGUAACGGAGGAGCACGAAGGUUGGCUAAUCCUGGUCGGACAUCAGGAGGUUAGUGCAAUGGCAUAAGCCAGCUUGACUGCGAGCGUGACGGCGCGAGCAGGUGCGAAAGCAGGUCAUAGUGAUCCGGUGGUUCUGAAUGGAAGGGCCAUCGCUCAACGGAUAAAAGGUACUCCGGGGAUAACAGGCUGAUACCGCCCAAGAGUUCAUAUCGACGGCGGUGUUUGGCACCUCGAUGUCGGCUCAUCACAUCCUGGGGCUGAAGUAGGUCCCAAGGGUAUGGCUGUUCGCCAUUUAAAGUGGUACGCGAGCUGGGUUUAGAACGUCGUGAGACAGUUCGGUCCCUAUCUGCCGUGGGCGCUGGAGAACUGAGGGGGGCUGCUCCUAGUACGAGAGGACCGGAGUGGACGCAUCACUGGUGUUCGGGUUGUCAUGCCAAUGGCACUGCCCGGUAGCUAAAUGCGGAAGAGAUAAGUGCUGAAAGCAUCUAAGCACGAAACUUGCCCCGAGAUGAGUUCUCCCUGACUCCUUGA